CUUGCCUGCAGUAACCAGCCUCCAACGUGACCCCCAGUGAUCCCCACUUUCUGAUAUUCAUACCCUGUGUAACUCCCUUCCAUAUUGGGCCAGGAUCGCUUACUGGGGGGAAGCCAGCUGCCGUGUCAUGAGUGCCCACUGUGGAAAUGAACUGAAACCUCCUGCCGACAGCCACCCAGGUGAGCUUGGAAUUGGAUGCUCCAGUCCAGCCAAACCCUCAGUUUACUGUAACCCCAGUUGACAGCUUGGCUACUACCUCCCGGGACACCCUGAAGCAGAACCACCCAGCUAAGCUCCUCCUGAAUUCCUGACUCACAGAAACUAUGCAAGAUAAUAAAUAUUUGUUGUUUUAUCUCUUUAAGUUUUGCGGUAAUUUGUUAUGAAGCAAUAAAUAACUAAUAGACUACCCAUGAAUUAAUUCUUUUACUAAUUCAUUUAUUCAACAAGUACCUGUUAAAGUCUACAGUCUUUCAAUCUCUGUAACACACUUCAGUGCGAUAAUAAAACAAUAUAUC
rnacentral:lncRNA from 1 species